UCGUGUCGUGAGAUGUUCGGGUUUAAGUCCCGCAACGAGCGCAACCCUCGACCUUAGUUGCCAGCAUUCAGUUGGGCACUCUAAGGUGACUGCCGGCUAAAAGUCGGAGGAAGGUGGGGAUGACGUCAAAUCAUCAUGCCCCUUAUGACCUGGGCUACACACGUGCUACAAUGGGCGGUACAAAGGGUCGCGAACCCGCGAGGGGGAGCCAAUCCCAAAAAGCCGCACUCAGUUCGGAUUGCAGGCUGCAACUCGCCUGCAUGAAGCCGGAAUCGCUAGUAAUCGCGGAUCAGCAUGCCGCGGUGAAUACGUUCCCGGGCCUU
rnacentral:rRNA from 1 species